GAUGAACGCUGGCGGCGUGCUUAACACAUGCAAGUCGAACGAUGAAGCCCAGCUUGCUGGGUGGAUUAGUGGCGAACGGGUGAGUAACACGUGAGUAACCUGCCCUUAACUCUGGGAUAAGCCUGGGAAACUGGGUCUAAUACCGGAUAGGAGCGCCUACCGCAUGGUGGGUGUUGGAAAGAUUUAUCGGUUUUGGAUGGACUCGCGGCCUAUCAGCUUGUUGGUGAGGUAAUGGCUCACCAAGGCGACGACGGGUAGCCGGCCUGAGAGGGUGACCGGGCACACUGGGACUGAGACACGGCCCAGACUCCUACGGGAGGCAGCAGUGGGGAAUAUUGCACAAUGGGCGAAAGCCUGAUGCAGCGACGCCGCGUGAGGGAUGACGGCCUUCGGGUUGUAAACCUCUUUCAGUAGGGAAGAAGCGAAAGUGACGGUACCUGCAGAAGAAGCACCGGCUAACUACGUG
rnacentral:rRNA from 1 species